UACGGAGGGUGCAAGCGUUGUCCGGAUUUAUUGGGCUUAAAGGGUGCGUAGGCGGCUUUUUAAGUCAGUGGUGAAAGACAACAGCUCAACUGUUGCAGUGCCAUUGAUACUGAAGAGCUUGAGUACAGAUGAGGUAAGCGGAAUUUAUGGUGUAGCGGUGAAAUGCAUAGAUACCAUAAAGAACACCUAUUGCGAAGGCAGCUUACUAAGCUGUAACUGACGCUGAGGCACGAAAGUGUGGGGAUCAAACAGG
rnacentral:rRNA from 1 species